GCGAACAGACGAGGAGCUUGCUCCUCUGACGUUAGCGGCGGACGGGUGAGUAACACGUGGAUAACCUACCUAUAAGACUGGGAUAACUUCGGGAAACCGGAGCUAAUACCGGAUAAUAUAUUGAACCGCAUGGUUCAAUAGUGAAAGACGGUUUUGCUGUCACUUAUAGAUGGAUCCGCGCCGCAUUAGCUAGUUGGUAAGGUAACGGCUUACCAAGGCAACGAUGCGUAGCCGACCUGAGAGGGUGAUCGGCCACACUGGAACUGAGACACGGUCCAGACUCCUACGGGAGGCAGCAGUAGGGAAUCUUCCGCAAUGGGCGAAAGCCUGACGGAGCAACGCCGCGUGAGUGAUGAAGGUCUUCGGAUCGUAAAACUCUGUUAUUAGGGAAGAACAAAUGUGUAAGUAACUAUGCACGUCUUGAC
rnacentral:rRNA from 1 species